AACGAACGCUGGCGGCAGGCUUAACACAUGCAAGUCGAGCGCCCCGCACGGGGAGCGGCAGACGGGUGAGUAACGCGUGGGAAUCUACCCAUCACUACUGAACAACUCCGGGAAACUGGAGCUAAUACCGUCAACGUCCUUCGGGAGAAGGAUUUAUCGGUGAUGGAUGAGCCCGCGUGGGAUUAGCUAGUUGGUGGGGUAAUGGCCCACCAAGGCGAGGAUCCAUAGCUGGUCUGAGAGGAUGAUCAGCCGCACUGGGACUGAGACCCGGCCCAGACUCCUACGGGAGGCAGCAGUGGGGAAUAUUGGACAAUGGGCGCAAGCCUGAUCCAGCCAUGCCGCGUGAGUGAUGAAGGCCCUAGGGUUGUAAAGCUCUUUCACCGGUGAAGAUAAUGACGGUAACCGGAGAAGAAGCCCCGGCUAACUUCGUGCCAGCAGCCGCGGUAA
rnacentral:rRNA from 1 species